rnacentral:rRNA from 1 species
UACAGAGGGUGCAAGCGUUGUUCGGAAUUAUUGGCGUAAAGCGCGUGUAGGCGGCUUUGCAAGUCGGAUGUGAAAGCCCUCGGCUCAACCUUGGGCUUGCAGUGGGUACGGGCAGACUAGAGUGCGGUAGGGGUGACUGGAAUUCCUGGUGUAGCGGUGGGAAUGCGCCAGAUAUCAGGAGGAACACCGGUGGCGAAGGCGGCAUCCUGGACCGAUACUGACGCUGAGGAGCGAA